rnacentral:rRNA from 1 species
GACGAACGCUGGCGGCGCGCUUAACACAUGCAAGUCGAACGGAAAGGCCUGCUUUCCCUUGUGGAUUGCGGGUACUCGAGUGGCGAACGGGUGAGUAACACGUGAGUGAUCUGCCCCCAACUUGGGUAUAAGCCUGGGAAACUGGGUUUAAUUCCCGAUAGGACUGCAGGGUGGUGCCUGUGGUGGAAAACGAUUUUCUAGUGGUUGGGGAUGAGCUCGCGGCCUAUCAGCUUGUUGGUGGGGUAAUGGCCUACCAAGGCGGCGACGGGUAGCCGGCCUGAGAGGGUGGACGGCCACAUUGGGACUGAGAUACGGCCCAGACUCCUACGGGGGGCAGCAGUGGGGAAUAUUGCACAAUGGGCGGAAGCCUGAUGCAGCGACGCCGCGUGGGGGAUGACGGCCUUCGGGUGGUAAACUCCUUUCGACCGCGAGGAAGCCACCUGGUUGGAAGGGUGGUGACGGUAGUGGUAGAAGAAGCACCGGCUAACUACGUG